rnacentral:lncRNA from 1 species
GGCUUAGGGUUUCAGAGAAAACACUAGAAAAAUGAAAAAGCACUGGAACAAACUGAUCCCGAGUCGGAGAUGGACUCACAGGGCUAGGACUCACCGGAGAUGAGCUGGAAAGGGCCAUAGAACUUGAAUCGAAAAGAUUCUAAGCCGGGGUCUUCAAAGUCGGAUUCUGAAACCUCGAGCAAAAGGAGCAUAGAGGUAUGUGGGGUAGGUACAAGCUGCUCAGGGCCUGAGAAGCCAUGAUUUCCGGUGGAAUAAAGACGGAGACCGGUGAAAUAGGCUAGGGUUUCGGAGGGGCUUGGGAGCGUUUGAGAAACGAAGG